UACGGAGGGUGAAAGCGUUAUCCGGAUUAACUGGGUUUAACGGGAGCGUAGGUGGGCUGGUAAGUCAGUGGUGAAAUCUCCGGGCUUAACCCGGAAACUGCCGUUGAUACUAUCAGUCUUGAAUGUUGUGGAGGUAAGCGGAAUAUGUCAUGUAGCGGUGAAAUGCUUAGAUAUGACAUAGAACACCGAUAGCGAAGGCAGCUUGCUACACAAUGAUUGACACUGAGGCUCGAAAGCGUGGGGAGCAAACAGG
rnacentral:rRNA from 1 species